UACGAAGGGGGCUAGCGUUGUUCGGAAUUACUGGGCGUAAAGCGCACGUAGGCGGAUACUUAAGUCAGGGGUGAAAUCCCGGGGCUCAACCCCGGAACUGCCUUUGAUACUGGGUAUCUCGAGUCCGGAAGAGGUGAGUGGAAUUCCCGGUGUAGCGGUGAAAUGCGCAGAUAUCGGGAAGAACACCCGUGGCGAAGGCGGCUCUCUGGGACGGUACUGACGCUGAGACGCGAAAGCGUGGGGAGCGAACAGG
rnacentral:rRNA from 1 species